rnacentral:rRNA from 1 species
UACAGAGGGGGCAAGCGGUGUUCGGAAUUACUGGGCGUAAAGGGCGCGUAGGCGGCCUUCUAAGUCGAACGUGAAAUCCCCGGGCUCAACCCGGGAACUGCGUCCGAUACUGGAAGGCUUGAAUCCGGGAGAGGGAUGCGGAAUUCCAGGUGUAGCGGUGAAAUGCGUAGAUAUCUGGAGGAACACCGGUGGCGAAGGCGGCAUCCUGGACCGGCAUUGACGCUGAGGCGCGAAAGCCAGGGGAGCAAACGGG